AAGACAAAAAGAAAAGCAAAAGAAAGGAGUCAGGGAAGAGAGGAAAAGGGGCCCAGGAAAAAAGAAGGAAAGCGCCCUAUCAAGGGGAAGGGGCAGAGCAGAUGGAGAUGCAGUGGGAAUUCAGCCACCACCUAUUUUCUGCCACUUGAACAAGCCUCUCCAACUCUGGAUGCUGAUCUCUAACCAGCAUCCAGUCUCCUGGCCCGUUUCCCUUUGUUCUGCCUUCUUCCCAUCACUCCACCGCAGUGAGAUCUUUGGAUCUAACACACCAAGCAAGGGAGUAAGUGAGCAAGGGUGGCUGCUGGUUCUACUCAAAUCAGGGAGAGCCAGGAGCAGAGGGGAAGCACAUCCUCAAAUGGUACUUCCCCAAAUGUGGAGAGCCAAUGGUGCCUGCUCCGAUCCCAGCAUUAUUUAUACACCACUGCUUUGCUCCCCUUGUGGGAUUUUGUUCUGACAAGGGAUAUAAUUAGCCAGCUUUCUUUGGAAGAGCCCUGACCUGCUGGCCAUGAAACCCAGAAGGGGACAGAAGUGUGACGUUAAUGAUCUCCUGCAGCUAAAAGGCAUAAAGCUGACCAGAAUGCUUUGGAGGCCUCCUGGGGUUUGAGGCCAGUUGGAGGAUGUCAGCACAGUAAAUGGGGAAGGGAGGUCAGAAGCGCUUUCAGGGUGGGUAUACUAAGAUACCAGUCCCGUAUUUGCAAUGCUUAACUACCGAGAGUAGGCAAGAUAGGAAAUUAAAAUGAACACCUGGCAAGAAUCUGCCUAACGUCUGUCAUCCAAGAAUGGAACAAAUGCCUUCCUCCAUGGAAUACAAUGGCUGAAUGGGAUAAAAGCUAAAAACAGAUAGGCAGCCCAAGUUCAACUGCCUCCCCCACACCACCCCAACGCCUUCUCCCCUUAUGAAUUCCACUUGUCCAUUACAGACACCUUAUGAGUUCUUUCAUUUGUUUUUUUCUAGCUAAGUAUUAGUCAUCAGAGAUAUGAGGAGGACAAGCACACACUUCCUGACUAUGAGAAGCUCAUCAUUCAGCUGUGGCAAGGGACAGAGAGAGGGGAGUUCCUACAUGUGGGCCCAGGGCAGGAGCUCACUCAAAGCUUGAAGAGCGAAUGAGUGAGCCAAGGAACCAGCCAAGGAACACAGGCUUUUCAGGCCACAACAGACAUUAACAAAAUUAUCUUAUCCGAUCUCAGCCUCUAUUUAAUCAGAAAGGGUUAAGUACCAAGUACUCUUAUACCUUUAUCUCAGUCUCACAGAAAUUAAAGUUGCCCAUUCUUUGUCCCAACUACCGCAGGUCAGUUUCCUUCCUCUAAACACUUUCAGUACAUUAAUCCAACCAGAAUUUACUCCAUGCUUGCUGUCUGCCAGGCACCACGGAGGGUCAGAGAAUCUGGGGGUAAGACUGAUUUCCCACCCAUGGUGGAGCUUACGAUUCAGUUAAACGCAGCAGAGAUUGAAUAAAUAAAUACCAACAAGGGUGUAAUUGUAGAUUACGAAGACUAUUAUAAGGAAAAGGACAAAGAGUCUGAGAAAGAAAUAUAGAUGUUGACCUAAUUUAGAUGACAAUGAGGUGGGCAGGCGACAGUGAUCAGCUCAAAAAGAAGUACCCUAAAGAAAGAGAAGAAACUUACUUAGUAAAAGAAGGGUUUGGGGCAGAGCAUACCAGGGAGAGGGAACCACAUGUGUAAAGGCCCUGAGGCAGAAAAUAACUUGGCUUUGGAACAUUCACUUCACAAAUAUUUAUUGGGUGCCACUACAUGCCAGGAAAGCUGAUUCGCACUAGGAAUACUGCAAUGAGUAAGUAUAAAUCAUUAACCUCAUGGAGCUUACAUUCAAGUACAUUUUAACAUAUUCUAAUAUGCUCUAAGAGGUACUGAAAAUUUAGCACAUGCCACAUCCUGGGUUACUGCAUUAUUUAUUCUUUUAAUGUUCCUAUACUUAUUUCCCCCCCAAUCAAAUUGUAAUGGUGCUAAUACUAGUAGCAUUAACAACUACAAUUUAUUAAGUACUUACUAUGUCCCAGGCACUAAGCUAAAGUGCUUGAUAUGUAUCAUUAAAUUUAAUCCUUAUCAAAAACCUAUGAGGAAAUUACAGCUAAUAGUCUCAAUUUCACAUGACAAAACUGAGGCACAGAGUGAAAAGAAAAUUUCCCAAGAUCACACAGUGAGGAAGUAGAGAUGCAGGGAUUUCAGGGAGUCUAACUGCAAAGCUCACAUUUUAACCACCAUGCCACACUGCCCUCCCUGAGGAUAAGUCCAGGUAUACGAUACAUUUGUGUAUACUCAGUAGCACCUAAUAUCUAUACCCAGAAGAUUCUCCUUCCAUACGGGCAGACUCCCCAACCCCAGAGCUUCUAGAGCAGCUCUAGCCUAGUCUCUGGGUGGGACCCAUACAACUCCAAUUCCAUCAGUGGCAGGGAGAGCGCACAUGCCCCUGGCCUGGGAAUGUGGCUUGACUUUCUCUCUCUGGAAAGAACAAUCAUCCAGUCAUCACAUCCCCCUAGCUAGGUCCAGGGUGGUCACCUUCCCAGCUCCACUCUGAAUCCUUCAUGAUCUAUGUGCCAGACUAUAAGGUGGCACCCCUUAGGAUUGAAAAUGAGGAAGUCGCAGCCUCUCUGUUCCCAGAGCUCACAACAGCGGGGCCAGCCAGCAGGACAUCCACAUUGGGAUGUACGAAGAGUUCUAUCCUGCCUUCCCCUCCGUGCCUCUGCCAGUUGUUCCCAUCUCAAUGGACCUCCUUUCUGAAGGGUUAUCUUCUGCCUGUUCUUGGAAGUCGAUAUAGUCAUUUGAUAUCCAUGUGGGAAGGUGAGGAAAGAAGCCAUGCACAAAGAACUUCAGAAGUGAGGCCGAUCUUCUGAGAGCAAGAGAUUUCACAGGCAUUGAAAAUGAGAGAAAAUCUUGAUGUGUGCAUCUUUGCUCCUCAGCACCUGGGACGGUGACUUCCACAGAACUGAGAGAAAAUACUGAAUGCACAGAUGAAUAUGUGAGGGAGUCGCCUGUGUUUGUUAAAACCCUUUGCCACCAACAUCUGUCCUCAAAAUAAAAUACUGCCAAAUAA